rnacentral:rRNA from 1 species
GACGAACGCUGGCGGCGUGCUUAACACAUGCAAGUCGAACGGAAAGGCCCUGCUUUUGUGGGGUGCUCGAGUGGCGAACGGGUGAGUAACACGUGAGUAACCUGCCCUUGACUUUGGGAUAACUUCAGGAAACUGGGGCUAAUACCGGAUAGGAGCUCCUGCUGCAUGGUGGGGGUUGGAAAGUUUCGGCGGUUGGGGAUGGACUCGCGGCUUAUCAGCUUGUUGGUGGGGUAGUGGCUUACCAAGGCUUUGACGGGUAGCCGGCCUGAGAGGGUGACCGGCCACAUUGGGACUGAGAUACGGCCCAGACUCCUACGGGAGGCAGCAGUGGGGAAUAUUGCACAAUGGGCGGAAGCCUGAUGCAGCAACGCCGCGUGCGGGAUGACGGCCUUCGGGUUGUAAACCGCUUUCGCCCGUGACGAAGCGUGAGUGACGGUAAUGGGUAAAGAAGCACCGGCUAACUACGUGCCAGCAGCCGCGGUGAUACGUAGGGUGCGAGCGUUGUCCGGAUUUAUUGGGCGUAAAGGGCUCGUAGGUGGUUGAUCGCGUCGGAAGUGUAAUCUUGGGGCUUAACCCUGAGCGUGCUUUCGAUACGGGUUGACUUGAGGAAGGUAGGGGAGAAUGGAAUUCCUGGUGGAGCGGUGGAAUGCGCAGAUAUCAGGAGGAACACCAGUGGCGAAGGCGGUUCUCUGGGCCUUUCCUGACGCUGAGGAGCGAAAGCGUGGGGAGCGAACAGGCUUAGAUACCCUGGUAGUCCACGCUGUAAACGGUGGGUACUAAGUGUGGGGUCCAUUCCACGGGUUCCGUGCCGUAGCUAACGCUUUAAGUACCCCGCCUGGGGAGUACGGCCGCAAGGCUAAAACUCAAAGGAAUUGACGGGGCCCCGCACAAGCGGCGGAGCAUGCGGAUUAAUUCGAUGCAACGCGUAGAACCUUACCUGGGUUUGACAUGGAUCGGGAGUGCUCAGAGAUGGGUGUGCCUCUUUUGGGGUCGGUUCACAGGUGGUGCAUGCCUGUCGUCAGCUCGUGUCGUGAGAUGUUGGGUUAAGUCCCGCAACGAGCGCAACCCUUGUUCACUGUUGCCAGCACGUUAUGGUGGGGACUCAGUGGAGACCGCCGGGGUCAACUCGGAGGAAGGUGGGGAUGACGUCAAGUCAUCAUGCCCCUUAUGUCCAGGGCUUCACGCAUGCUACAAUGGCUGGUACAGAGAGUGGCGAGCCUGUGAGGGUGAGCGAAUCUCGGAAAGCCGGUCUCAGUUCGGAUUGGGGUCUGCAACUCGACCUCAUGAAGUCGGAGUCGCUAGUAAUCGCAGAUCAGCAACGCUGCGGUGAAUACGUUCCCGGG